rnacentral:lncRNA from 1 species
CCCGUGACACCCCUCAUUAUUUUUCUCUAGGAGCCGUGGAAUAGGUCGACCCCCCUAUUUUUGGACAUUUUUUUUUCAAAUUUUGGGCUCUAGUUUCAGAUUUUUGAACAUAGCGCCCUUCGAUACCUUGCGCAAAAGAAGCGCCUGUUUCUCCUCUACAAGACCUAUAUAGUCAUACCCCGUGACACCCCUCAUUAUUUUUCUCUAGGAGCCGUGGAAUAGGUCGACCCCCUAUUUUGGACCAUUUUUUUUUUCAAAUUUUGGGCUCUAGUUUCAGAUUUUUGAACAUAGCGCCCUUCGAUACCUUGCGCAAAAGAAGCGCCUGUUUCUCCUCUACAAGACCUAUAUAGUCAUACCCCGUGACACCCCUCAUUAUUUUCUCUAGGAGCCGUGGAAUAGGUCGACCCCCCUAUUUUGGACCAUUUUUUUUCAAAUUUUGGGCUCUAGUUUCAGAUUUUUGAACAUAGCGCCCUUCGAUACCUUGCGCAAAAGAAGCGCCUGUUUCUCCUCUACAAGACCUAUAUAGUCAUACCCCGUGACACCCCUCAUUAUUUUUCUCUAGGAGCCGUGGAAUAGGUCGACCCCCCUAUUUUGGACCAUUUUUUUUUCAAAUUUUGGGCUCUAGUUUCAGAUUUUUGAACAUAGCGCCCUUCGAUACCUUGCGCAAAAGAAGCGCCUGUUUCUCCUCUACAAGACCUAUAUAGUCAUACCCCGUGACACCCCUCAUUAUUUUUCUCUAGGAGCCGUGGAAUAGGUCGACCCCCUAUUUUGGACCAUUUUUUU